rnacentral:rRNA from 1 species
CGGCGUCGAGCGGCGGACGGGUGAGUAAUGCCUAGGAAAUUGCCCUGAUGUGGGGGAUAACCAUUGGAAACGAUGGCUAAUACCGCAUGAUGCCUACGGGCCAAAGAGGGGGACCUUCGGGCCUCUCGCGUCAGGAUAUGCCUAGGUGGGAUUAGCUAGUUGGUGAGGUAAGGGCUCACCAAGGCGACGAUCCCUAGCUGGUCUGAGAGGAUGAUCAGCCACACUGGAACUGAGACACGGUCCAGACUCCUACGGGAGGCAGCAGUGGGGAAUAUUGCACAAUGGGCGCAAGCCUGAUGCAGCCAUGCCGCGUGUGUGAAGAAGGCCUUCGGGUUGUAAAGCACUUUCAGUCGUGAGGAAGGUGGUGUAGUUAAUAGCUGUAUCAUUUGACGUUAGCGACAGAAGAAGCACCGGCUAACUCCGUGCCAGCAGCCGCGGUAAUACGGAGGGUGCGAGCGUUAAUCGGAAUUACUGGGCGUAAAGCGCAUGCAGGUGGUUUGUUAAGUCAGAUGUGAAAGCCCGGGGCUCAACCUCGGAAUAGCAUUUGAAACUGGCAGACUAGAGUACUGUAGAGGGGGGUAGAAUUUCAGGUGUAGCGGUGAAAUGCGUAGAGAUCUGAAGGAAUACCGGUGGCGAAGGCGGCCCCCUGGACAGAUACUGACACUCAGAUGCGAAAGCGUGGGGAGCAAACAGGAUUAGAUACCCUGGUAGUCCACGCCGUAAACGAUGUCUACUUGGAGGUUGUGGCCUUGAGCCGUGGCUUUCGGAGCUAACGCGUUAAGUAGACCGCCUGGGGAGUACGGUCGCAAGAUUAAAACUCAAAUGAAUUGACGGGGGCCCGCACAAGCGGUGGAGCAUGUGGUUUAAUUCGAUGCAACGCGAAGAACCUUACCUACUCUUGACAUCCAGAGAACUUUCCAGAGAUGGAUUGGUGCCUUCGGGAACUCUGAGACAGGUGCUGCAUGGCUGUCGUCAGCUCGUGUUGUGAAAUGUUGGGUUAAGUCCCGCAACGAGCGCAACCCUUAUCCUUG